ACCAGCAGCCAUAUCACCCUGCAACUCACAACUGGUAACCCACUGAAGCUAAGCAGGUGUGAGCCUGGUCAGUACCUGGAUGGGAGACCUCCUGGGAAAAACUAAGGUUGCUGCUGGAA
ensembl:rRNA 5S_rRNA 5S ribosomal RNA